rnacentral:rRNA from 1 species
ACGGGGGGACUCCUACGGGAGGCAGCAGUGGGGAAUAUUGGACAAUGGGCGAAAGCCUGAUCCAGCAAUGCCGCGUGAGUGAUGAAGGCCCUAGGGUUGUAAAGCUCUUUUACCCGGGAUGAUAAUGACAGUACCGGGAGAAUAAGCUCCGGCUAACUCCGUGCCAGCAGCCGCGGUAAU